rnacentral:rRNA from 1 species
GGUUAAGCGACUAAGCGUACACGGUGGAUGCCCUGGCAGUCAGAGGCGAUGAAGGACGUGCUAAUCUGCGAAAAGCGUCGGUAAGGUGAUAUGAACCGUUACAGCCGGCGAUGUCCGAAUGGGGAAACCCAGUGUGAUUCGUCACACUAUCGUUAACUGAAUACAUAGGUUAACGAGGCGAACCGGGGGAACUGAAACAUCUAAGUACCCCGAGGAAAAGAAAUCAACCGAGAUUCCCCCAGUAGCGGCGAGCGAACGGGGAGCAGCCCAGAGUCUGAAUCAGCUUGUGUGUUAGUGGAACGGUCUGGAAAGUCCGACGGUACAGGGUGAUAGUCCCGUACACCAAAAUGCACAGGCUGUGAACUCGAAGAGUAGGGCGGGACACGUGGUAUCCUGUCUGAAUAUGGGGGGACCAUCCUCCAAGGCUAAAUACUCCUGACUGACCGAUAGUGAACCAGUACCGUGAGGGAAAGGCGAAAAGAACCCCGGCGAGGGGAGUGAAAAAGAACCUGAAACCGUGUACGUACAAGCAGUGGGAGCACCUUCGGGUGUGACUGCGUACCUUUUGUAUAAUGGGUCAGCGACUUAUAUUCUGUAGCAAGGUUAACCGUAUAGGGGAGCCGCAGGGAAACCGAGUCUUAACUGGGCGUUAAGUUGCAGGGUAUAGACCCGAAACCCGGUGAUCUAGCCAUGGGCAGGUUGAAGGUUGGGUAACACUAACUGGAGGACCGAACCGACUAAUGUUGAAAAAUUAGCGGAUGACUUGUGGCUGGGGGUGAAAGGCCAAUCAAACCGGGAGAUAGCUGGUUCUCCCCGAAAGCUAUUUAGGUAGCGCCUCGUGAAUUCAUCUUCGGGGGUAGAGCACUGUUUCGGCUAGGGGGUCAUCCCGACUUACCAACCCGAUGCAAACUACGAAUACCGAAGAAUGUUAUCACGGGAGACACACGGCGGGUGCUAACGUCCGUCGUGAAGAGGGAAACAACCCAGACCGCCAGCUAAGGUCCCAAAGUCAUGGUUAAGUGGGAAACGAUGUGGGAAGGCACAGACAGCCAGGAUGUUGGCUUAGAAGCAGCCAUCAUUUAAAGAAAGCGUAAUAGCUCACUGGUCGAGUCGGCCUGCGCGGAAGAUGUAACGGGGCUAAACCAUGCACCGAAGCUGCGGCAGCGACACUAUGUGUUGUUGGGUAGGGGAGCGUUCUGUAAGCCUGCGAAGGUGACCUGUGAGGGUUGCUGGAGGUAUCAGAAGUGCGAAUGCUGACAUAAGUAACGAUAAAGCGGGUGAAAAGCCCGCUCGCCGGAAGACCAAGGGUUCCUGUCCAACGUUAAUCGGGGCAGGGUGAGUCGACCCCUAAGGCGAGGCCGAAAGGCGUAGUCGAUGGGAAACAGGUUAAUAUUCCUGUACUUGGUGUUACUGCGAAGGGGGGACGGAGAAGGCUAUGUUAGCCGGGCGACGGUUGUCCCGGUUUAAGCAUGUAGGCUGAUUAUCCAGGCAAAUCCGGAUAAUCAAGGCUGAGGUGUGAUGACGAGGCACUACGGUGCUGAAGUAACAAAUGCCCUGCUUCCAGGAAAAGCCUCUAAGCAUCAGGUAACAUCAAAUCGUACCCCAAACCGACACAGGUGGUCAGGUAGAGAAUACCAAGGCGCUUGAGAGAACUCGGGUGAAGGAACUAGGCAAAAUGGUGCCGUAACUUCGGGAGAAGGCACGCUGGUGUGUAGGUGAAGUCCCUGCGGAUGGAGCUGAGACCAGUCGAAGAUACCAGCUGGCUGCAACUGUUUAUUAAAAACACAGCACUGUGCAAACACGAAAGUGGACGUAUACGGUGUGACGCCUGCCCGGUGCCGGAAGGUUAAUUGAUGGGGUUAUCCGUAAGGAGAAGCUCUUGAUCGAAGCCCCGGUAAACGGCGGCCGUAACUAUAACGGUCCUAAGGUAGCGAAAUUCCUUGUCGGGUAAGUUCCGACCUGCACGAAUGGCGUAAUGAUGGCCAGGCUGUCUCCACCCGAGACUCAGUGAAAUUGAACUCGCUGUGAAGAUGCAGUGUACCCGCGGCAAGACGGAAAGACCCCGUGAACCUUUACUAUAGCUUGACACUGAACAUUGAGCCUUGAUGUGUAGGAUAGGUGGGAGGCUUUGAAGCGUGGACGCCAGUCUGCGUGGAGCCAACCUUGAAAUACCACCCUUUAAUGUUUGAUGUUCUAACGUUGGCCCCUUACCGGGGUUGCGGACAGUGUCUGGUGGGUAGUUUGACUGGGGCGGUCUCCUCCCAAAGCGUAACGGAGGAGCACGAAGGUUAGCUAAUCCUGGUCGGACAUCAGGAGGUUAGUGCAAUGGCAUAAGCUAGCUUGACUGCGAGCGUGACGGCGCGAGCAGGUGCGAAAGCAGGUCAUAGUGAUCCGGUGGUUCUGAAUGGAAGGGCCAUCGCUCAACGGAUAAAAGGUACUCCGGGGAUAACAGGCUGAUACCGCCCAAGAGUUCAUAUCGACGGCGGUGUUUGGCACCUCGAUGUCGGCUCAUCACAUCCUGGGGCUGAAGUAGGUCCCAAGGGUAUGGCUGUUCGCCAUUUAAAGUGGUACGCGAGCUGGGUUUAGAACGUCGUGAGACAGUUCGGUCCCUAUCUGCCGUGGGCGCUGGAGAAUUGAGGGGGGCUGCUCCUAGUACGAGAGGACCGGAGUGGACGCAUCACUGGUGUUCGGGUUGUCAUGCCAAUGGCACUGCCCGGUAGCUAAAUGCGGAAGAGAUAAGUGCUGAAAGCAUCUAAGCACGAAACUUGCCCCGAGAUGAGUUCUCCCUGAGACUAUAAGUCUCCUGAAGGAACGUUAAAGACGAUGACGUUGAUAGGCCGGGUGUGUAAGCGCAGCGAUGCGUUGAGCUAACCGGUACUAAUGAACCGUGAGGCUUAACCUU